GUGAAGUGCGGCUCCUACACAUGCAGUCGAACGAUGAAGCCCUUUCCGGGGUGGAUUAGUGGCGAACGGGUGAGUAACACGUGGGCAAUCUGCCCUUCACUCUGGGACAAGCCCUGGAAACGGGGUCUAAUACCGGAUACCACUUCGUCCCGCAUGGGACGGGGUUGAAAGCUCCGGCGGUGAAGGAUGAGCCCGCGGCCUAUCAGCUUGUUGGUGGGGUGAUGGCCUACCAAGGCGACGACGGGUAGCCGGCCUGAGAGGGCGACCGGCCACACUGGGACUGAGACACGGCCCAGACUCCUACGGGAGGCAGCAGUGGGGAAUAUUGCACAAUGGGCGCAAGCCUGAUGCAGCGACGCCGCGUGAGGGAUGACGGCCUUCGGGUUGUAAACCUCUUUCAGCAGGGAAGAAGCGCAAGUGACGGUACCUGCAGAAGAAGCGCCGGCUAACUACGUGCCAGCAGCCGCGGUAAUACGUAGGGCGCAAGCGUUGUCCGGAAUUAUUGGGCGUAAAGAGCUCGUAGGCGGCUUGUCGCGUCGGUUGUGAAAGCCCGGGGCUUAACCCCGGGUCUGCAGUCGAUACGGGCAGGCUAGAGUGUGGUAGGGGAGAUCGGAAUUCCUGGUGUAGCGGUGAAAUGCGCAGAUAUCAGGAGGAACACCGGUGGCGAAGGCGGAUCUCUGGGCCAUUACUGACGCUGAGGAGCGAAAGCGUGGGGAGCGAACAGGAUUAGAUACCCUGGUAGUCCACGCCGUAAACGUUGGGAACUAGGUGUUGGCGACAUUCCACGUCGUCGGUGCCGCAGCUAACGCAUUAAGUUCCCCGCCUGGGGGAGUACGGCCGCAAGGCUAAA
rnacentral:rRNA from 1 species